GUGCCAGCAGCCGCGGUAAUACGUAGGGGGCAAGCGUUGUCCGGAAUUAUUGGGCGUAAAGCGCGCGCAGGCGGUCAUUUAAGUUUGGUGUUUAAGCCCGGGGCUCAACCCCGGAUCGCACUGAAAACUGGGUGACUUGAGUGCGGGAGAGGAAAGUGGAAUUCCACGUGUAGCGGUGAAAUGCGUAGCGAUGUGGAGGAACACCAGUGGCGAAGGCGACUUUCUGGACCGUAACUGACGCUGAGGCGCGAAAGCGUGGGGAGCAAACAGGAUUAGAUCCCCUGGUAGUCCACGCCGUAAACGAUGAGUGCUAGGUGUUAGGGGUUUCGAUACCCUUGGUGCCGAAGUCAACACAGUAAGCACUCCGCCUGGGGAGUACGCUCGCAAGAGUGGAACUCAAAUGAAUUGGCGG
rnacentral:rRNA from 1 species